rnacentral:rRNA from 1 species
CCUACGGGAGGCAGCAGUGGGGAAUAUUGCACAAUGGGCGCAAGCCUGAUGCAGCCAUGCCGCGUGUGUGAAGAAGGCCUUCGGGUUGUAAAGCACUUUCAGCGGGGAGGAAGGCGGUGAGGUUAAUAACCUCAUCGAUUGACGUUACCCGCAGAAGAAGCACCGGCUAACUCCGUGCCAGCAGCCGCGGUAAUACGGAGGGUGCAAGCGUUAAUCGGAAUUACUGGGCGUAAAGCGCACGCAGGCGGUCUGUCAAGUCGGAUGUGAAAUCCCCGGGCUCAACCGGGGAACUGCAUUCGAAACUGGCAGGCUAGAGUCUUGUAGAGGGGGGUAGAAUUCCAGGUGUAGCGGUGAAAUGCGUAGAGAUCUGGAGGAAUACCGGUGGCGAAGGCGGCCCCCUGGGCAAAGACUGACGCUCAGGUGCGAAAGCGUGGGGAGCAAACAGGAUUAGAUACCCGAGUAGUC